rnacentral:rRNA from 1 species
UACGGAGGGUGCGAGCGUUGUCCGGAAUCACUGGGCGUAAAGGGCGCGUAGGUGGCCUGUGGAAGUCUGCGGUGAAAGCCCGGCGCUCAACGCCGGGUCGGCCGUGGAUACUCUCGGGCUCGAGCUCACUAGAGGCAGAUGGAAUUCCGGGUGUAGCGGUGGAAUGCGUAGAGAUCCGGAAGAACACCGGUGGCGAAGGCGGUCUGCUGGGGUGAUGCUGACACUGAUGCGCGAAAGCUAGGGGAGCGAACGGG